rnacentral:rRNA from 1 species
UACGUAGGGGGCAAGCGUUGUCCGGAAUUAUUGGGCGUAAAGCGCGCGCAGGCGGUUGGUAAAGUCUGGUGUAUAAUUUCGAGGCUCAACCUCGGACCGCACUGGAAACUGGCUAACUAGAGUGUAGGAGAGGAAAGUGGAAUUCCACGUGUAGCGGUGAAAUGCGUAGAGAUGUGGAGGAACACCAGUGGCGAAGGCGACUUUCUGGCCUAUAACUGACGCUGAGGCGCGAAAGCGUGGGGAGCAAACAGG